UACGUAGGGUCCAAGCGUUCAUCGGAAUUACUGGGCGUAAAGCGUGCGCAGGCGGUUCGUUAAGUCAGCUGUGAAAGCCCCGGGCUCAACCUGGGAAUUGCGGUUGAAACUGGCGAACUAGAAUCUGGCAGAGGGGGGUGGAAUUCCACGUGUAGCAGUGAAAUGCGUAGAGAUGUGGAGGAACACCGAUGGCGAAGGCAGCCCCCUGGGCUGAGAUUGACGCUCAGGCACGAAAGCGUGGGGAGCAAACAGG
rnacentral:rRNA from 1 species